AUUAAUUAAAUCUAAACUGCAAAAAGCCACAAAACAAUAAUAAAAGAUUACUAAUUGUCAAAUAUACAAUUAGUUAUAGAUAAAUAAUACAAAGGUUUAAUGUAGGAAAACCAACACACCGAAAUUCAUCCGAACGCUACAACAAUUUAGUAGUUAUUAUGAUUAUUAUUAUUAUUAUAUAUUAACUUAAACGCAACUAUUUGUUAUAAUUUUUAUUGUAAGCUAUUUCUAAGUUAGAAGAUAAGUUGCGUAUAACGGACUGAGCAUUGCAAUAGAUUUUUAUCCUUAUUCAUUUACGAUUAUUUAACGAUUCUUUUUGUACAAAGAAGGUCAAGUGCGGGUAAAACGGCGCAUAGUUGAACGUGAUUUUCCUAUAAAAAUUAUCUACAACACAUAAAUAUUUAUAAUAGGGAAUAUUAUGACUAAUAUUCAUAAAAGAUUGUUUAAACAGUAUUUUCUAAAGAGUAAUUAUUAAACAAAUAAUCAAAUUACAAAAUCUAUUUAUUUAAAAAUCUAUACUUGAAAAUAAAAAUUUUAACGAAUCAAGAUAAUAGUCAAAUAUCUUUACUAACAAUAAUAAAAAUAAUCCAUGAAUACUAUAUUUUAAACAAUCUUUUAUAAAUAUUCAUUUUUGCAUCUGUAAAUGGUACAAGCGUCGCUAUCUGUCUCGGGGACAGAGAAACCAUCUUGGUCUCUCCCCCGGAAAAUUUAGUUAGAGUAGGGGGUCUCCAGACCCAAGCGUAGGAGGAGUCCUUGAGGAAACUCUCUUUCCAUUGGAAAAUCCUCCGAAAAUCUCUCGAGGAGGGAAAUCGAGGGAUGGGCCUAAGGUUACGAGUAUCCUCGAGUUGCAACUCAAAAUCACUUCGGUCCCGGCUCUCAGUUAGUUCGGAAGCAACAAACGCGCUUAGUCCGCAUCUAUACAUUGUUAUUUACGCGCUUAGUCCGCAUCUUCACAUUCUUACAUUACGCGCUUAGUCCGCAUCUACACAUUCUUACAUUACGCGCUUAGUCCGCAUCUUCACAAUUUUUAUUUUACGCGCUUAGUCCGCAAUUUUAUAACUUACAAAUAUUACUGCGCUCAGUCCGCAUCUUGAAUUUAUAUAAGUUGUACGCGCACCGUUCGCUCAGUUAUUUUUAUAAUAUAUACUUCUAACAUUUAAACUACGUGUCUCUUUUAUUAUUAAAAAUCCGACACCUUAUUCGUAUCAAAGAAAACUUUCAUUCCUACUUUUCCUCGAGAAAGUUCGACGAGUGCAAGAUUCACAGCCCAAGCAGCGGGUCAACAACAACAUAAAAAAUGGAGGGAAGGAAAGUAAGGAAACUUCCAAAAAAACCAGCGGACGGUCAAGAGGAAAAGAAACCUCGAGGGUCAAGUUACUUUUAACAUAAACAAUCCUCUAUCACCUCCGCCGGUGAACAUCGAGGAGAUACCUUUGCCGCCGGUCCCACAGAGUGACAAUCCUCCUUUGACGAAACCCAAAUCUCCGCCAAAAGUGGAACCAAGAAAACUGUGUAAAAGGUGCCAUAAAAAACGAAAAGAAAAGUCCAGUGAAUGUUUUAGAUUAAAUAACAAAUUUAAGAAGAAAACCUUAUUAUUAGUCGAUGAGAUCAUUGACCAGAUGAAUAAGGAUAAAGAUAUUAAGAAAAUUCCGUUAAAAGAAUAGUGAGUUUCGUUUUUUUUUAAGGAAAAUUUUAACCUCUCCCUAUUACAUCCAUAUUUUUU